UGGGUAUAAACACCGAGACAAAGACUUCAAUUUGCAUGGAUUCUAUUUCUCUGAGCGUCCACCAGCCUCGUUUUCACGAACGCCAUCCCAGGGAUCUCCACAGACUCCGCAUUUCCCGCCAUUUCUAUCCCACUGCCUCUGAAAUAACGUUAAAAACGAAUCCUCCGCAGAAGAGUUGAUUGUCGUUGUAGUUACGUGGCGUGCUGAACCCCAAUCUCCACAUGCUGGAGCGGGAAGGCGGU